GAUGAACGCUGGCGGCGUGCCUAAUACAUGCAAGUCGAGCGAACAGACGAGGAGCUUGCUCCUCUGACGUUAGCGGCGGACGGGUGAGUAACACGUGGAUAACCUACCUAUAAGACUGGGAUAACUUCGGGAAACCGUAGCUAAUACCGGAUAAUAUAUUGAACCGCAUGGGUCAAUAGUGAAAGACGGUUUUGCGGUCACUUAUAGAUGGAUCCGCGCCGCAUUCGCUUGUUGGUAAGGUAAAGGCUUACCAAGGCAACGAUGCGAAACCGACCUCAGCGGGUGAUCGGCCACCCUGGCUCUGAGACACGGUCCAGACUCCUACGGGAGGCAGCAGUCGGGAAUCUUCCGGGAUGGGGCAAUGCCUGACGGUGCAAAGCCGGCUGAGUGAUGAAGGUCUUCUGACCGUAAAGCUCUGUUAUUAGGGAAGUUCAAAUGUGUAAGUACCUAUGCACGUCUUGACGGUACCUAAUCAGAAAGCCCCGGCUAACUACGUG
rnacentral:rRNA from 1 species